rnacentral:rRNA from 1 species
UCGGGAAUUUUGCCCAAUGGACGAAAGUCUGAGGCAGCAACUCCGCGUGAGGGACGAAGGCUCUCGGGUCGUAAACCUCUUUUCUCAGGGAAGAUCCAAGACGGUACCUGAGGAAUAAGCCACGGCUAACUACGUGCCAGCAGCCGCGGUAAUACGUAGGUGGCAAGCGUUGUCCGGAUUUACUGGGCGUAAAGAGCGCGCAGGCGGCUGGUCAAGUCCGAUGUGAAAUCUCCCGGCUCAACUGGGAAACUGCAUCGGAAACUGAUCGGCUUGAAGGUGGGAGAGGGUAGUGGAAUUCCCGGUGUAGUGGUGAAAUGCGUAGAUAUCGGGAGGAACACCAGUGGCGAAGGCGACUACCUGGCCCACUCUUGACGCUGAGGCGCGAAAGCUAGGGGAGCGAACGGGAUUAGAUACCCCGGUAGUCCUAGCCGUAAACGAUGAACACUAGGCGUAGUCGGUAUCGACCCCGGCUGUGCCGUAGCCAACGCAUUAAGUGUUCCGCCUGGGGAUACGG